GACAGAGGGGGCAAGCGUUGCUCGGAAUUACUGGGCGUAAAGGGCGCGUAGGCGGGAUGGCAAGUCGGUCGUGAAAUCCCUCGGCUCAACCGAGGAACGUCGAUCGAUACUGCUGUUCUUGAGGAUUGCAGAGGAGACUGGAAUUCCCGGUGUAGCGGUGAAAUGUGUAGAGAUCGGGAGGAACACCGGUGGCGAAGGCGGGUCUCUGGGCAUCUCCUGACGCUGAGGCGCGAAAGCGUGGGGAGCAAACGGG
rnacentral:rRNA from 1 species